rnacentral:lncRNA from 1 species
AAAGAAAAGCUGAUUUUUCUGGCUGGUUAGACUUUAUUGAAUUCCUAGUUGUUCAUCAGUCUUCAAAUCUAGGACCACAAUCUGAGAAGGAAAAACCCCUCCUGGUCAAUAAAGAGACAACACAUCAGUGCUCCCUCAAAAGAAUCCCAGGAAGGAGGACUGAGGCUUCCCCCUGGAUGGAGGAGAAGAUGGAAGCUCAUCAGCAGUGAAGGACUUCUUCUAGCACAGUAUAACCUUGGAUUCAAGAGGUAAUGGAGGAGAUCUCAUGUGCAGAGGAGGUAGAAAAAAGGGUGGAGGAAUCCCUCACUUCAGACGAGAUUAGGAAGGUGCUUUGGAUACAAGCAUAUUUCCAGAACAAACUAUGCUCAAAAACCAAGAUUUCACUGUAUUUAGAUGCAAACAGAGCCGCUGCUUCUGUCUGCCAGAAGCUUUUUCUCUGUAGGAAGAAAACACAGACAAGAGGGACCAAGAUGAAAUCUGCGAAGUAUGUAGCGAGGUGAAAUGAAAAUAACUUUAGGGAGACCUUUCCACAGGGUAAGUGACCAACAAUUAAUAUGCUAACACUGCCAUUGUUCAACUGUUCGAAGAUGCAGGUUUUUCACAUUUUAGUAUCUUGGCAGUGAGGAUUCUUUUGGGGGGGGUACCGGGGAUUGAACUCGCGCCCUUGCGCUUGUGAGGCAGGCACCGAAACCACUGAGCUAAAUCCCCAGCCCAGGAUUCUUCUUUAAACUAAGAAUAUGCCCAUAUUAGGUGGAAAUGGUUCACUCUUUUCUCUCUCCAUCAGGC